rnacentral:ncRNA from 1 species
AUAAAGUUUGAUUCUUGCUUUGAUAUUAAUUUUAUCAUUAAUUUACAUGUAAAUUUUUGUGUGUUACUAAAAUUAUUCUUAAUGAUUAAUAUCAGUAUAUAUUCGCAGUAUUUAAUACUAUAAAUAUAUUUAUAUAUGAUUUUGUUAAUUGAUUAUUUAAGUGAUUAAUUGUGUGCCAGCAUUCGCGGUUAUACAUUUACUUAUUGUUAAUUUUUUUAUCUUUUAGUAAAUUAUUUUUUUUGAUUUUUAUUUAUUAAUUAAUUAGGUGAAAUUAUUUAUUAAUAUAAUUUUUCUUGUUUAUAGAUUUGUCUAAGAAAUUUUUGUUAUAAACUAGGAUUAGAUACCCUAUUAUUGUAAAAAGUAAAAUUAAUUAAAGUUGAUUAUUGUUAGUUAUGAUCUUUAAAUUCAAAGAAUUUGGCGGUAAUUAAGUCUUUUUAGAGGAAUCUGUUUCGUAAUUGAUAAUCCACGAUUGAUUUUACUUUAUUUAUACUUGUAUAUCUCUGUUAUUGAAUGUAUUAUUAGGUAAAUUUUCUUUUUUCUUUAUUUUUUAGAAAAAUAUCAGGUCAAGGUGCAGUUUAUAUUAAAGUGAUUAAUGGAUUACAUUAUUUUUAUUUGGAUAUUAAUUUGUAAUUAGUUAAUUGAAAUUGGAUUUAAUAGUAAUUUUGUAUAGUAAAUACAUUUUGGCUUUAGCUCUUAAUUAUGCACAUAUCGCCCGUCACUCUCAUCAAUUUGGGAUAAGUCGUAACAAAGUAAUUUUACCGGAAGGUGAAGUUAGAAAGUAUUAUUUUUU